GUCUACGGCCAUGCUACCCUGAAUGUGCCCGAUCUCAUCUGAUCUCAGAAGCUAAGCAGGGUUGGGCCUGGUUAGUACUUGGAUGGGAGACCACCUUGGAAUACCAGGUACUGUAGGCA
rnacentral:rRNA from 1 species